CGACCAUGAGAGGAGAUCCAUUAUCUAUCGAGUUUCGAACUGUGUGCCAUUAGCAGAGCAGUAAUUGCUUGUUUCCAAUACCAAGUUGGUUUUAUUAACUGUUUGCACUCAAGGAACAGCAUAUAGUAUAAAUAAACAAGUGAGUACUCUUUAUAAUACAAGUAAUAAAUGCAUCUAUCAAAUCAUCAAAAGAGAUAAUUGUGAUAGACAAACAUACAUAUUGUCAUAACGUACGUGUGCGGGUGUAUGUACUGCACAUUUAUUCGGAACACUUAAUAUAAUCAACUCAAGAUUGAGAAAGAGGAGGAGCUGCUUCAGAAUCUGGACCACUAUCGACAGGAGGAGCUGCAUCAGAAACUGGAGUACUGCCACCACUAAUGGUAGGAGGAAGUGCGUCAGAAACUGGAGUACUUCCGCCGCUAGCGGUAGGAGGAAGUGCAUCAGAAACUGGAGUACUUCCGCCACCAACGGCAGGAGGAAGGGCCUCAGAAACAGGAUCACUUCCGCCACCAACGGCAGGAGGAAGGGCCUCAGAAACAGGAUCACUUCCGCCACCAACGGCAGGAGGAAGGGCCUCAGAAACAGGAUCACUUCCGCCACCAACGGCAGGAGGAAGUGCAACAGAAACAGGAUCACUACCGCCGCCAACGGUAGGAGGAAGUGCAACAGAAACAGGAUCACUACCGCCACCAACGGUAGGAGGAAGUGCAUCAGAAACUGGAGUACUUCCAUCACUAACGGCAGGAGGAAGUGCAUCAGAAACAGGAUCACUACCGCCACUAAUGGUAGGAGGAAGUGCAACAGAAACAGGAUCACUACCGCCGCCAACGGUAGGAGGAAGUGCAUCAGAAACUGGAGUACUUCCGCCACCAACGGCAGGAGGAAGUGCCUCAGAAACAGGAUCACUACCGCCACUAGAGGUAGGAGGAAGUGCAUCAUCAGAAACAGGAGCACUACCGGCACUAACACUAGGAGAAGGUGCAUCAGAAACUGGAGUACUGCCACCUCCAUGAACUACCGGAGCAACUGCACCCGAACUUAAGAGCUGAGACAUUCCACGUCGUGGAAGACGAAUUUUCUGGGACGAGCACAUUUUGGCCAAAGAUACUCCU
rnacentral:lncRNA from 1 species